UUAUGGCCAUAUCAUGUUGAAACACCGGUUCUCGUACGAUCACUAAAGUUAAGCAACGCCGAGCCAGGACAGUACCUAGAUAGGUGACCGCUUGGGGAUACCUGGUGCUGUAAG
rnacentral:rRNA from 1 species